rnacentral:lncRNA from 1 species
AAUAACAAAAAUAAUAAUAAAUAAUAUUAAAUAAUAACCAUACUAACUUUCUGUGCUCUUAUUUUUAGAGGCCGUUAAACAAAGAGUACACAGGAACUGACCAAAAAUUCCCAACCUCAUAUGUAUGACAUAAAGUGAAUUACAUAUAUGACAUUUCUAAAAUGGUCCACAGCAACAGUGGAAAAUAUUGUGUCUACAGAAUCAUUGGACUCUGUGAAAGAAGUCAUGUCCCCAAAUGGCUCCUGCAGUUGGUUGAUUUUCAGUCCUUUACAUCAUGCCCUACUCUUCCCAUCCUACCUACAGCCAACUGGCGUAAGUUGGGGCCAACCAACUUCCUUUUGCAAAGGUCUUCCUGAGUUGAUCCUGGGAGCAAUGCCUACUGAAGUGCACACCAAAGGCACACCAGAUAAUACAUAUUUGAGUAUUAAAUAUUUCAGAUUCUCUGGUCUGUAG